rnacentral:lncRNA from 1 species
UCAAAAAUUUUAGGGUCACAUUUCAGCGUGGGCACCAUGAACCAGCUACAAAACGGCACUCAAGGCAAAGGACCCUGGCAAAGGGCCUUGUCUACACUGACUUAGUUUCACCACUGGGCUGGCCUCAGACCUCACAGGGCACUGCCCACCUACCAAGUCUCCACUCUGUGCCCAUUUAAAAUGAUGCACUUAGGGAGUCCCUGUGGUGGCUCAGUGGUAACGAACCCGACUAGGAUCCAUGAGGAUGCAGGUUCGAUCCCUGGUCUCGCUCAGUGGGUUAAGGAUCCGGCAUUACAGUGAACUGUGGGGUAGGUCACAGACAAGGCUCAGAUCUCACGUUGCUGUGGUGGCGGAGUAGGCAAGUAGCUGUAGCUCGGAUUUGAACCCUAGACUGGGAAUCUCCAUAUGCUGAGGGUGCAGCCCUAAAAAGAAGAAAACUUGCUUUGUGUUAAUAAACGGUAUUUAUGCAGAUCUGCCAGAUAUUUGAAAGUGCUUAAUUUUACUGCAGUAAAUACUAAGAAUCCUUUUUAAAGCAUGGAAACCAAGCCCCAGGCAGGGAAAACACGAUUUGCCUUCAGAGCCUUUGACAAACUCACAUUGGCACUAGGAUUAGACCAUAGCUUGUUGGCCUUGAUUCCAUCUCCUACUGAGGCUGGCUGAAGGGGUCAGGAGCCCUGCUGUGGCCACAAGGCCAAAGCUGGACCUGAAAAUACUCUUGCAGAUGAAACUGGAACACACGACGUCCUACCCACAGAGUCAGCACGUCACAGCUGACUGCCAUCAAGGGAUGCGAGGGGGAAGGUUAUAUUCCUGGGAUACUGGUGGUCAGAACCGACUGCUCUCUGCCUUUCCUUCCUUCCUUCCUUCCUUCCUUCCUUCUUUCUUUCUUUCAGAUUUUUAUUUUCUCUCUGCCUUUCUUGGCUGUGUGACAGGUGCCCUGCAGUUACCUUCCUGUGGUUGUGAACGUGCCAUAGGAAGGCCUCAUCCAUCAAGAAAAAGCUGUAGGCAUCCAAGAGAAAGGGAGAAGGAAUCGUGAAUUGUAAACUACUUGAGUGCAGAGAACGCAGGGAGUGGUUUCUUCCUUUCGUCAUCAGAAGAAGGCCAGACGUGCUGUAGACCCUCAGCCAGGGAUACAUUGUGAUAAGCUGAUAGAGAAACACUGAGAGGAAGUGUUCAGCAAAAUGAAAGCUGAAUUUCCAAGAUGGGUCUGAUUGUGUUCAGAUGAGAGCGGGGUUUGAAUGCAGCUUUCACCUGGAACCCUCAGCGUUAAGGUGCACAGGGCAUGCGUUAUUGCCUUAAUUCUCACAAUUCCCCUGGCAGCCUGGGAUGGUAGGAGCUGAUGUUCACCUCUGCGCUGACAGAAGGGCUUUAGGCAGUUGUGGCAAAAAACGGAGCCGAUGAGGGGCUGCGCUCAGCUCAGCUGGUUAAGUUUCCUGUUGGUGGCUCUUCCUCCCCAAGAUGCUUCAAGACUGCGUGCGAUAUCAAGUUGGACUUGUCUGUUCACACUUUCGCUGCGGUGCACGUGAUUUUGUCGCCACUUCCUGCAGCCCCUGUCUGUUCAGAGCCUGAGCCUUUAAGACCUGGGGCUGCAUCUCAGCUCUGUGGGUCACGGGCUGUGUGAGUUGGGCGAGUCCUCCUCAGUCCAUCACAGCGUCAGAGGCCAUGUCCCAUGGGGAAGGACACCCUGGAUGCUCCCCUGCCCCCCGCCCCAGAGCCUGGCGAUAGGAGGCUUCCUGAGCAUCCUCUUCGUGCCACAGUCUGCCUUCCUGGCUGUCACAUCUGAUGUUGUCCUCUGCCCCCAGCAUCUCUGCUUGUGAUUGGUCACGAGCUCCUCAUCGAGAGGUGUGCUUUACCAGAAGCUCCAUCUCUGUGUGAGUGGUAAAAAUGAGGAGAAUUUCUUGAGAACUCGUUCUUCCUUCACGUAAGCAUAGCCAGAGUUAAAAUCAGGCUUUGUAUUUCUGAGACAUACUGAAUGAAUAAAUAGGGAAGAAAUACUGGGCGUUUGUCACAAUUCUUAAGCUGUCCACUUAGAGAAGCAUAGCUCUGUAUUUACACACAGAUAAUUGGAAGAUUCAGUUACGGCUCGCUUUAGUGGCUGUCUGUGUCAUACGUAAUAAUUUUCACUUCAUGUUAACAGAUCACUUAGGGUUACUAUGAGAUUUGAUCAGAUAAUAGUUACAAAGACUUUUAAAUUCUGUAAAUGAAAAAAUCUGAUGAAACUGUAAAAGUGCUCCUUCUGUUCACUGAAACCAAUACGGUUGCUGUUGCAACAUUUCUUUCCUUUCCUUCUCUCUUUCCCUUCCUUCUCUCACUACUUCUCGCUUCUUCCCUUCCUUUCCCUCCUCUCCCCUCCUCUCCUUCCAUCCAUCCUGCGGGGUUUUUACAGGGAUAACACUGACACUAAUUCUGCCUUCAUGGAAUUUACAGACUAGCGGAAGAAACAGGCAGCUUUACAAGCACGCAAAGGUACUUGCAGGUUAUGAUGUGUUAU